UACGAAGGGGGCUAGCGUUGCUCGGAAUUACUGGGCGUAAAGCGUGCGCAGGCGGUUUUGUAAGCCAGAUGUGAAAGCCCCGGGCUUAACCUGGGAAUGGCAUUUGGGACUGCAAGGCUUGAGUGCGGCAGAGGAGACUGGAAUUCCUGGUGUAGCAGUGAAAUGCGUAGAUAUCAGGAGGAAUACCGAUGGCGAAGGCAGGUCUCUGGGCCGUAACUGACGCUGAGGAGCGAAAGCAUGGGGAGCGAACAGG
rnacentral:rRNA from 1 species